rnacentral:rRNA from 1 species
AUACGUAGGGAGCGAGCGUUGUCCGGAAUUACUGGGCGUAAAGGGCGCGUAGGCGGCGCUUCAAGUCGUCUGUCAAAUGGAAGGGCUUAACCCUUUUUCGCAGACGAAACUGGAGAGCUUGAGAAGCAGAGAGGCAAACAGAAUUCCUGGUGUAGCGGUGAAAUGCGUAGAUAUCAGGAAGAAUACCAGUGGCGAAGGCGGUUUGCUGGCUGCAUACUGACGCUGAAGCGCGAAAGCCAGGGGAGCGAACGGGAUUAGAUACCCCGGUAGUCCUGGCAGUAAACGAUGUAUGCUGGGUGUGAGACUAGCGAUAGUUUCGUGCCGAAGUUAACGCGAUAAGCAUACCGCCUGGGGAGUACGGUCGCAAGAUUGAAACUCAAAUGAAUUGGCGGGG